rnacentral:lncRNA from 1 species
CGCUCCGCCCCUUCUCGAGGGAGCCCCGCCCCCCGUCGAGGUCCCUCGGGGCGAGGGUGGCGCCUACGCUCUCCGAGGCUGGAAGUCCAAAAUCAAGGUAUCAGCAAGUCCGUGUUCCUUCUGAAACCUGUAGAUUAUGAAAGAAACGACUCUACCUUGUUACUUUUGAUAGGAAACUGUAAACUCUAGAGUGUUCUCUUAUCCUGUACACUCAUCUGAUCUGUGUCCAUGACUCCUGAUUAAAAAUACAACUUUCACUUGAAGAGCUGCACCAGUUUGCAAAGAAGGCUUCCCUUCCUCCACAUCCUUGCCAACACCUGUUGUUUCUUGCAGCGUUAUCUACAAUAGCCAAGAUAUGGAAGUAGCCCAAGUGUCCCACCAACUAAUGAAUGGGUAAAGAAGAUGUGAUGUAUAUAUAUAUAUACAUACACACACACAACGGAAUAUUGUUCGUCCAUAAAAAAGAACACUGUGUUAACUAACUGGAAUUUAAAACUUAAAGAAGUUGUCAGGAAAGGCCUCUGAGGAAUAACAUCAGAGCAGAAAGCUGAAGGGAGUGGUGAGUCAGCCGUGUGGAUAUCAGAGAAGAUGACCUGUGCCAAGGGCCUGGAGCGAGAAGGUGUUUGGCACAUCCAAGAAGUAGUACGAAGGUCUCUGGCUGGAGUGACCUGGGCAGUGAGGAGAGUUUUGCGACCAGAUCCCAGAGCAGGGCAUGGACAUAAUAGAAGACCUUUGGCUUUGAAGGCUUUGGAGCACUAGGUGAAGUGAGCCACCAUAUGCUUUACAAGUGGUUGCUGUGGCUGUCAUGUGUAGGUCAGCCUGAAAGGAAGAAGUCUGGUGGGACUGGGAGAGACCAGUGAGGAGACCAUUACAGUAGUCUAGGUGAGUGAUGACAGGGGCAGCCAGCGGGUGGCAGGGAUGUCCGGGCCAGCAGUUUGUAGUGGAUCGUGUGUGGUGAGUCAAAGGAAGGGAAAAGUUGAGCAUGGCCUCGCAGAUUUUGUCCUGAACAACUGGAUGAAGUUGCCAUUUUACUGAGAUGCAGAAGAUUUCAGAGGGAAGAAUACUGGGGAGAAAAAUCAGGUGUUUUUGUUUUAACUUUAUACAUGUUGAUGUAUUACACACCUACAGAAAAGUAACAAAUCAUGAUUGUACGACGCAAUGAAUUCUUACCAAGCAAGCAAGUCCAAGUCUCCCACCACAGGUAUAAACAAUAUCCUAACUUUGAACACCAUGUUCAUACAUGUGUUUUGCUAGUUUUUGAAAUUAAUGUAAGUGGAAAUAUAUGCUGUGUAUUCCCUCUGGCUUCUUUGGGUCAUCAUUUUAUUUGAGACAUUCACUCACGUUGUUACACGCGGUCGCUGUGCACUAUUCCACUGUAUGAAUACGCCACUGUUGAUUUGUUCAUUCUGUAGUUGAUAGUAUGAUUUAUCAAAUACUUCCUUUAGAGUUGUUACUUUUUAUAUCCUGUGUAAGAAACAUUUGUCUACCUCCAGAUCAUGGAGAUUGUCUCUUGUGUUUUCUUUUUCUUUUCUUUUUUUUAAGAUUGUAUGUAUUUAUUCAUGAGAGACACAGAGAGAGGCAGAGACAUAGGCAGAGGGAGAAGCAGGCUCCCCGUGGGGAGCCCAGUGUGGGACUCCAUCUUGGUACCCAGGAUCACAACCUGAGCCAAAGGCAGAUGUUCAACCCCUGAGCCACUAGGUGCCCCUCUCGAGUUUUCUUCUUAAUAUUUUCCCUGGAUUUUUCUGCUUUUUACUUUAACCUUUUGCAAUUGGUGGUACAGUCCACCAAGAAUUGAUACUUGUGUGUGGUAUGUAGAGGUCAAGAUUGAUUUUUUUGAAAAUAUUUAUAGCCAAUUGACCCAGUUCCAUUUAUUGAAAAGUCCAUUCUUUCUCUACUACAGUGUCCUUUUUUUUCAUAAAUCAUGUGUAUGGGUCUGUUUCUGGACUUUCUAUGAUGUGUCAUCCGUCUGUCGGUCCUUGCACUAAUCCCGCAUUGUCUUAAUUAUUAUAGCUUUAAAAUGGAGCUUAAUUUCUGGUAGCAGAACUUCUCGGCCUUCUUCCUUUUCUAGACUGCCUUGGAUAUUCUCAGCCCCUUUGGAUUUCCAUAUAAAAUUUAGAAUCAGCCUGGGGCACCUGGGUGGCUCCAUCAGUUAAGCAUCUGCCUUUGGCUUAGGUUGUGAUCCCAGGGUCCUGGGGUCGAGUCCCACAUUGGACUCCAUGCUCUGCUAGGAGCCUGCUUCUCCCUCUCUCUCUGCCUGCCACUCCCCCUGCUUAUGCUUGUGCACGCGCUCUCUCUCUCUUUCAGAUAAAUAAAUAAAAUCUUAAAAUUUAGAAUCAGCCUGUUAAGUUCAAUCCAACUACCCUCCCCAAACCCCUUCUAGGGCUUUUUAUGUAAUUUGCACACACUAAACUGUGUACAUUUUAAGGGUACAGUUUAAGGAAUUUUGACAAAUGGAUGGACUUCUGUAAUCAACACUCCAUUCUAGAUAGAGAAGGGUUCCAUCACCCCAGAAAGCUCUGUCUUGCCCCUUUCAACUCAAUUCCCUUUUCUUCCCAGAGACAGCCACUCUUUUGAUUUGCAUUGUUUUUGACUAUCCUAGGACUUCAUAAAAAUGGAAUCACAGUAUGGCCUCAUUGGUACUUGACUACUUUUGCUCAACAUAAUGUUUCUGAUAAUCUUUCGUGUUGCGUACCUCAUUUCAGUCCUCCUUGUUGUUAUAGAGUAUUCCAUUGUAUGACUCUGUCACAACUUGUCUAUCCAUUCAGCUGCUGAUAACCACUUGGGUUUCUUCCAUUUGGGGGCUGCUAUGAUUAAGGCAACCAUGAGCAUUCUUAUAUGAGUCUCUGUAGUCCUCUCUUUUCCUUUCUCAUCAGCAAAUACUUAGACAUAGGAUUGGAUGGGUGUAUGUCAGGUUUUAUGAGAAACUGCUGAACAGUUUCCCAAAGUGAUUGUUUCAUUCUACACUCCCACCAACAAAGUACAAUAAUUCUGGUUCUGUAUACUCACCAGCAUUUGGUGUGGCCCAUCUUUUUAAUGUAGCCAUUCUAAAUGUGAGAAGGGUUUCUUCAUUUUGAUUGUAGUUUGCAUUCCCAGAUGCAAAUUACCAUGAAUAUCUUCUAGGAUGCACUUGCCUUCUCACUUUCUUAGUGGUAUCUUGAAGAGCAGAAAGCUUUAAUUUUGACAGAUUCUUAUUUAUUAACUUUUUCUCUUAUGGUUAGUGCUUUUUUUUUUUUUUUAAAGAUUUUAUGUAUUCAUGAGAUGUACUCAGAAAGAGACAGAGACACAGGCAGAGGAAGAAGCAGGCUCCCUCUGGGGAGCCCAAUGCAGGACUCAAUCCGAGGACCCCGGGUUCACAAUCUGAACCAAAGGCAGAUGCUCAACUACUGAGCUACCCAGGCAUCCUGUGCUUUUCAUGUCUUAAGAAAUCUUUGCAUGACUCAAGAUCAGAGGUACUCUCCAAUGUACAAAGUUUUAUCAUUUUAUGUCUAGGUUUAUGAUCCAUUUUAAAUUAAUUUUUGAGUAUGGUUUAAGGUAAUUGUUGAGGGCUUGUUUUUCUACAUAUUUGUUUCAGUACCAUAUUUUGAAAAUACUGUUCUUUGCCAUUACCUUGGCAUCCUUUCCUGAAAAUCAGUUGACCAUGUAUGUCAAGGUCUUUUCUCUCCAUGUAUUUAUGAUUCUGUCCAUUAAUCUGUUUGUAUAUAUGCGGAAACCAUACAGUCUUACUUACUGUAGCUUUAAAGUAAAUUUUGAAGUCAGCGUCUUCAAGUUUGUUUUGACUUUUCUAGAUUCUUUUCAUUGACAAAUAAGUUUUAGAUGUAACUUGUCAGUUUCUGAUAAAAAGUCUGCAAAGAAUUUUUUUCCUGCCAAUACUUUGGUUGCAAUUGUGUCGACUCUAUAGGUAAGUUUGGGGAGAAUUAAUGUCUUAACAAUAUUAAGUAUCACAUCCAUGAACAUAGUAUCUCUCCCAAUUUAUGCCUUACUUUUUCUCAGAUGUGUUUUGAGGCUUUCAAUGUAGAAGUCUUCUCUCUUGUUUUUUCAACAACUUUACUUAGUUAUAUUUUACAUAUUAUAAACUGUGCCCAUUUUAACUAGAUAGUGCAAUGUGUCUUAGUUGAUUAUUUUAUGUUUAUCGAUGUAAUGGUAAGCAGAACUGGGUUUAUUUUCCAAUGUUUGUUGCUAGUUUAUAGAAAUACAAUUGUAUUUACAUUCGGUUAUGAUGUCUCUUAAAAUUCUUUUAUUCUUGAAAAGUCCCUAGCCUCUAUUUUUUUCUUUAUAAUAUUGGCUUGUUUACACAUAUGACUAAAUUAAGAUUAUAUUAAGAUAAAAAUUCAGAUCCUCAGGCACAUUGUAUUUUGAUUGCUCAAUAGCCACAUGUGUCUAGUGGCUGCUGUAUUGGAUACCACAGAUUUUUCAUAUUUCACAGAGUUGUAUUGAAAAGCUCCAUGUGGAGUGGUUGGGUGGCCCCACCUUCUAGAUUCACCUUAUCAUUUUCUCAUGAUGUUGUGUAACUUGUUCUAAUAAUCUGUAUUUGCGGUAAAUUGAAACUGAUACACAUACAUUUAAAAGCUUAAUUAAAUGCAGAUUCAACUUUUCAG